GAUUUUUAGAUUCUGUCGAUAGAUUGUUGUUAAAUUAUGUCAGCAACGAAGCUGGCACAAUUGUCUUGCAUUGUGUUGUAGAGAAAUAGCACUACGAUACCUCGUAGUUAUGGGCAUCGAUUGAAACAUCUGAAAUUCGUCAAUACGUUCCAAGGCUGAAUGGAUGUGAUUGGAGCAAAACACUGAAAGGAAUAUGAGACAGAGUAUCUUUAUCUUCGCCGUACUUGCUGUCCCUUUUGUCAUUGGGCUUUAUCCGGUUCCGCAAACAAUACAGUUUCGCCACUGGGUCACUUCCCCAAGUGAGUGCUGGCAGGCUUCACGCUUCACCCUGACCUGCCCAUAUAUUUAUCGUUUCAUAAUCAACGAUAAAUAUUUGUCGACAGCAAAGAUAAGGAAAUAUCGGGCUACAGACACCCUACUUUGUACCCGGCCACCGGCGACCUAUAAACAUCCAAGCCAGAUUUCUACUUUUAAUAGCACAGCCGAGAAUUGUAUACCGUUAAGAAGCAAAUAAUCGCUUGCGCAGUAUUUUCACGUAUCAUAUGGAGCCCGAUUAGCGAACGUAGUAUAACAUCGUUACCAUGCCCUUAGCUAAAAACGCCUUAUGACUGUUUCGGCCAUAUAUUUGGAUUAUAGUGUUACAAGCCCAAAGUAUUAGCCGCGAUAAGCAUGAGGGGCAGCGGAAACCUUAAUAGAAUCGUAAGAAUUAUGUAUAAACAAUAGGUUCAUUGUGACGAAAAGGAAUUCACUUGAAUAUCUGUCAUAGGAAAGCAAUUAAUCAUUGAUGGAAAUACAGUGAAUACUUCCGACUCGGGCUUAGGUGUAGCUAUUAGGUGGCUUCCGACAAUGGCACAGUCUAGUAGGUCAAUAUUUUUUACUACUUGAUUGAUAAGCGGAAAGGCCCACGAUACGCUGAAGAGUUAGGUACUAAGCAUGUAUUGAGGUAGCCUAGAGGCACCACAUGCAUGAUAUUGCAUGUUGAGAAUGUUAUUG